UGGUUCUCCUCGAAAUAGCUUUAGGGCUAGCCUCAUUUUAGUCUUAUGGAGGUAGAGCACUGAAUUUCCGCGGGGGCGUCAAAGCUUACCAAAGAAUAUCAAACUCCGAAUGCCAUGUAGAUGAUGAAUGGGAGUCAGACUGCACGAGAUAAGUUGGGUGGUCAAAAGGGAAAGAGCCCAGACCUACAGCUAAGGUCCCAAAGUGCGUGUUAAGUGGAAAAGGAUGUGGGAUUUCAAAGACAACCAGGAUGUUGGCUCAGAAGCAGCCAUACAUUCAAAGAGUGCGUAACAGCUCACUGGUCGAGAGGUCCUGCGCCGAAAAUGUCCGGGGCUGAAACACGACACCGAAGCUUAGGAAUCACAUAGUGAUUGGUAGAGGAGCAUUCUUAAAACCGACGAAGCUGUACCGGAAGGAGCAGUGGAGGGAUAAGAAGAGAGAAUGCCGGAAUGAGUAGCGAGAGGAAGGUGGGAAUCCUUCCGGCCGAAUAUCUAAGGUUUCCAGAGUAAAGCUGAUCUGCUCUGGGUAAGUCGGGGCCUAAGGAGAGGUCGAAAGACGUAUCCGAUGGACAACAGGUUUAGAUUCCUGUACCACAUAUAAACAGAACUGUGGGGACGCAUGUGGAAAGCAUAAGCCGGGAAUGGAAAUACCGGUACAAACGGAAGAGGUGUCAGGCUGGCAAAUCCGCCUGGCAAGCCAAAGACGUGAUGUGUAGCGAAAUAAAAGUAGCGAAGUAUGUGAGCCAUGUGCCGAGAAAAGCCGCUAUUGUUUUAUAUGUGCCCGUACCGUAAACCGACACAGGUGGAUGAGGAGAGAAUCCUAAGGCCGACGGAAGAAGCAUUGUUAAGGAACUCGGCAAAAUGACCCCGUAACUUCGGGAGAAGGGGUGCCCACUUCAGGGUGGGCCGCAGAGAAUAGGCUCAAGCAACUGUUUAGCAAAAACACAGGUCUAUGCGAAACCGUAAGGUGAAGUAUAUGGGCUGACGCCUGCCCGGUGCUGGAAGGUUAAGAGGAGAGGUUAGUCGCAAGAUGAAGCUUUGAAUUUAAGCCCCAGUAAACGGCGGCCGUAACUAUAACGGUCCUAAGGUAGCGAAAUUCCUUGUCGGGUAAGUUCCGACCCGCACGAAAGGCGUAAUGAUUUGAGCACUGUCUCGACAAUGCAUCCGGUGAAAUUGAAGUACCAGUGAAGAUGCUGGUUACCCGCGCCAGGACGGAAAGACCCCAUGGAGCUUUACUCCAGUUUGGUACUGGGAUUCGGUACUGCAUGUACAGGAUAGGUGGGAGACUGAGAAAUUGGAACGCCAGUUUCAAUGGAGUCACUGUUGGGAUACCACCCCUGCAGUAUUGGGUUUCUAACCAGCCGCUGUGAUCCAGCGGUGGGACAAUGCCAGGCGGGGAGUUUGACUGGGGCGGUCGCCUCCGAAAGGGUAUCGGAGGCGCUCAAAGGUUCCCUCAGAAUGGUCGGAAACCAUUUUAAGAGUGCAAAGGCAGAAGGGAGCUUGACUGCGACACCGACGGGUGGAGCAGGUACGAAAGUAGGACUUAGUGAUCCGGUGGCAUAAAGUGGGAUUGCCAUCGCUCAACGGAUAAAAGCUACCCUGGGGAUAACAGGCUUAUCACUCCCAAGAGUUCACAUCGACGGAGUGGUUUGGCACCUCGAUGUCGGCUCAUCGCAUCCUGGGGCUGUAGCAGGUCCCAAGGGUUG
rnacentral:rRNA from 1 species